AGCGAACGCUGGCGGCAGGCCUAAUACAUGCAAGUCGAACGGUCUCUUCGGAGGCAGUGGCGGACGGGUGAGUAACGCGUGGGAAUAUGCCCUUUGGUACGGAACAACUGAGGGAAACUUCAGCUAAUACCGUAUGUGCCCUUCGGGGAAAGAUUUAUCGCCAUUGGGGUAGCCCGCGUUGGAUUAGGUAGUUGGUGGGGUAAAGGCCUACCAAGCCUACGAUCCAUAGCUGGUCUGAGAGGAUGAUCAGCCACACUGGGACUGAGACACGGCCCAGACUCCUACGGGAGGCAGCAGUAGGGAAUCUUGCGCAAUGGGCGAAAGCCUGACGCAGCCAUGCCGCGUGAAUGAUGAAGGUCUUAGGAUUGUAAAAUUCUUUCACCGGGGAAGAUAAUGACGGUACCCGGAGAAGAAGCCCCGGCUAACUUCGUG
rnacentral:rRNA from 1 species